rnacentral:rRNA from 1 species
CAAUAGUGAAGGUCAGGCUGAAGACUUACCCGAUUAGCUGAGAGGUGGUGCAUGGCCGUCGUCAGUUCGUACUGUGAAGCAUCCUGUUAAGUCAGGCAACGAGCGAGACCCACGUCCACAGUUGCCAGCAUACCCUCCGGGGUGAUGGGUACACUGUGGAGACCGCCGCUGCUAAAGCGGAGGAAGGAGUGGGCAACGGUAGGUCAGUAUGCCCCGAAUCUCCCGGGCUACACGCGGGCUACAAUGGUUGGUACAAUGGGCAUCUACCCCGAAAGGGGAAGGAAAUCUCUUAAAGCCAAUCGUAGUUCGGAUUGAGGGCUGCAACUCGCCCUCAUGAAGCUGGAAUCCGUAGUAAUCGCGUUUCAACAGAACGCGGUGAAUACGUCCCUGCUCCUU